GGGCAGCACUGAGUAAAGCAACCUGGUAAAGAAAAUAAAUACAGAUAAAGAAGAAGAAGAAGAUAGAUAGAUGGUGAAUGGCAGCGGAAACAGCAGAAAUGAAUGACAAACAAAUGCAAAGAAAAUGUUGAAAUCGCGAAACGUUUGCUGCAGCUUAUCCGUCAGCAUUUCCAGAUUCUUGGUCAACUUGUAUUCCGCCUCGAAUUUCUCAGACAGCAGCACCAAAUCUCUGGCCGCAUCGUGCAGCGGCACAUCGGAGAUGUAAAGUCCCUUUCUAUGUUGGGUGGAAUCAAAACAAAACAAUACCGAAAACGAAAUAGCAAAUAAAAUAAAAUAUGUACAAGAGCCAGACGCACCCAAAAGAAAAAAAAGAAGAAAAAUACAACAACGACACACUGAGGACUCUGUACGUGGGCGAUAUGUCUGGCAGGUCUAGGUUUCUGGGUUUCUGGCCAGGUGUGGCGCAAAAACAUUUUUACUGUCACCAAUAAAUUUCGCUAGGUAUUUGCAAUUUCUUUCAAUUUAUAUGCAGAAAUAAUAAACAGCAGCCCAUAAACAGUCAACAGC